AAGAUCAUACUUCACAGGAUCAUUUCUGUAGUAUGACUUCACAAUCUCUUCACUUAAAUGUGGAGUUGAUGCGACCUCGAAGAUGAUUUGUAGCUUCGCACUCUGAGCGUGAGAAAGAUGUUGAACUUCGUUUGGAGUUCGAUCAUCAUCGAUGACCGUUCGCCAAAGUUCUUUGUGAAUUUUGGUCAUGGGUGUGAUGCAUUCUGAGAGGU